rnacentral:rRNA from 1 species
UACGAAGGGGGCAAGCGUUGUUCGGAAUUACUGGGCGUAAAGGGCGCGUAGGCGGCUUAUCAAGUCAGGCGUGAAAUUCCCGGGCUCAACCUGGGGGCUGCGCUUGAUACUGAUUGGCUUGAAUGCGGGAGAGGAUAGUGGAAUUCCCAGUGUAGAGGUGAAAUUCGUAGAUAUUGGGAAGAACACCGGUGGAGAAGGCGGCUAUCUGGCCCGUAAUUGACGCUGAGGCGCGAAAGCGUGGGGAGCAAACAGG